GGAAUUCACAACAUACAAGGUUUUACCUGAACCACGGCAGUGGGAUGUUUUAGUUCAUCAGUUUAAACAAGAAUUUUGCAAGCUAUAAGGCAUGACAAUGGAGCCAUUAUUCAACAUCUAGUCACAAGCAGGCUUGUCAGCAUGAAAACUCCAUAUGGUUUUAAAGAGGGUUUGUACCAAGGAGGACCCGCUCUCACAAGAGAGCUUCGGAAGCUAGCGUUGCCUUUACCUUACUCCCCAAGCAGGAACAUUCAAAGCUUAUUUGCUAUAUUUCCAAGGAGCUAAUGGACACAGAGAACCCAUCACUCGUGUUGCCCAAUGGAACCAAGGACCGUUUUACGAAGACCCUGAUUGGAACGGGUGAAGAACGUGAGGGGGUUUAUUAUUUUACUGGAGUCACAGCUGCAAGUGUCCACCGAACUGUGUUGAAGAAUUCUUCUACCUCAGAACUCUGGCAUCGACGGCUUGGUCAUCCAUCUUUCCGUGUUUUAUCUUCCUUACCGUUUUUAGAUAACUUAGUUUUUGAUUCAGAACAAGCUACGUCUUGUGAGAUUUGCUUUAGGGCCAAAC